rnacentral:rRNA from 1 species
UACAGAGGUCUCAAGCGUUGUUCGGAUUCAUUGGGCGUAAAGGGUGCGUAGGCGGCGCGGUAAGUCGGAUGUGAAAUCUCGGGGCUUAACUCCGAAACUGCAUUCGAUACUACCGUGCUUGAGGACUGGAGAGGAGACUGGAAUUUACGGUGUAGCGGUGAAAUGCGUAGAUAUCGUAAGGAAGACCAGUGGCGAAGGCGGGUCUCUGGGCCGACAUUGACGCUGAGGAGCGAAAGCGUGGGGAGCGAACAGG